GGGAACUCAUCAUAACAUACAGUUUGCUCCUAAGUUCAGGUUCUGCGUGACUCAAAUUGAAUAACAAAUAAUAUAUGGAAAGUGGCACGCUGUAUGUAAAAAGCUUGUGAGCUGAAGAAGCAGCUACAUUCACAGCAAAUCUCGAGCACUGUCAGUCAUCCAUUGAGCUCAGCUACUUGGUGUGACAGUCAUUACAAGACGGGAGUUUUACAGGCACUUAAAUGCUGUCCUCAAACAGUUACUUGCUGGCAAAUCAACAGUGUGUGGUCAGGACAGAACAAAGUGUUUCUUGAAGAGAUGAUGAAUCAACAUCAGAGUCUGCCCAAGCAUAAAGGACCAGUGCAAAACACUUUCUGACUUCCUGUGCUGAGAAUUACUGUAUCCCCACAGCAGUUUUUCCAUGACAGGAUGCUAAGCGCUACCUAAAGUCCUUCUGUGGAUCCAACAAGUGGAUCGAUGCAAUAGGAAAGCAGAAGCAUCAGAGGAUGAAAGCUGGCAAGCCUCCCUGGGCCAUUGAAGGCUUUUUGGGCUCAGCUGCUUGCUCUGUCAGAGACAACCAUCCCACAACAUCAGCAGGAGAGGCACUCAGCCCCAGCUCCCUCACUGCCAAUCCAGCAGUGCCAGGCCAAAAGGGCCAUCCAGCCAUUAAAAGGCAGAUCCCACAGACCACCCCAAAGCUAAUCCUGUUGUUUUGUCACCUCCCUGCAGAACUGUUUUCCUCACUGUUUUCUCACUGGACUGCAGACUGUUUAUUCUUAUGUAUGCUGUUUCCUCUUGUGCAAAGAAACUGAAUAUAGCAACAAAACUUCCAGUAUAAACUUACUGUUCUUGCUACCAGGCACUCUGCCAAAUAAUCACUGAAACUCGGAAGGGACAGGUAAUAAAACAUAGGAGAAAUAUGCAGGUGAAUUCCAUAUUCACUUAUCCUCAGUAGUGAUAUUAUCACUAACAGUGAUAGUGAGCUACAAGUGAUCCAUUGCUUUGCCAGAUAUAAAUAAGGGCUGGGCUUGACAUGCUUUUGAAUGAAGCCUCUAGUUUGGCAAUCAAAGUGUCUUGAGUGCAUCCGCCACCCACACUUUAACCCAUUGCUAGUGUAGUCCUGACACAAGCGCAGUAGCAACAGCUGAAUGUGAAAUGCCUGUACAUCCAGAUAUAUCAAAGUGAACCAGUCUUGAUCCCAGAGAGUGGUAAUUGACCUCAGGCAUAGGAGCCAGGAGGCUUAAACAUGACAUUUUGGUAAUUGCAGCUUUUCUCAGCAGCAGCAGGGGAAGGGAAACAUUUAUUGCAUGCUCCUAGAAAUUCUUAGCAAUCAAAGCCACUGACAGACAGCAUCGGAGAGGCGGCAGCGGAGUCAGUUCUAGGAAGCGACACCUACUAAUGAAAAAAUACUUUCUGUUAGAGAGCUGGGAUGCUCUUCCAGACCGCCUCCAGCAAGCUUGCCUGCCAAAUGCCAAAGAGCUGUAGCGCUGAGCAUCUUUUAAGAAGGGAGAGGAAGUAUUUCACUGAAAUCUACUGAGCAGAUCUGUAAUGAGCUUGUUUGGCUCAGUGAUUAGUUAGUGGCACAGUCUUUUAUCUUUGAAAACCUUGCCGCUUCCAUUUUCCUUUUUAUUCUUGUGAAGCAAGCUAACUAAGUUGACACAGCCAGGAACUGUAUUAUGAUUCGUAAUUGUAGGACUAAGAAUCUAUUUUCAUUGACUGGACAACAGACAGAAAGUGACUCUGCAGCUGACUCCUGGGACAGCAUGUAAGAUAUGUGUGGUAUGUGGUAAGCUUUGUAGUCUUCUUUGGCAGAGGAAAAUUCCCUAGAUAAGGAGUGGUAGGGAGGAAAAGGAGGAACCAAUAGCAAACUUUACAACAGCAGAAGUCUUCAGAGAAAGCUGAGGUUUGUGUGAGAAUCUUAUCUUCUAUGGAAAGAGUCAUUCUCUUAAGCUAAAACAGUAAGUACAUGUUUAAACAUCCAAACUUGAAUCAUUGUGCCUCAAGUAAACCCCACAAGCACAGAUGCAAACAACCCUACUUCACCUCUGGUCUUUCUGGAUCAAAGUAUGUCUCAAGGCAGAUCUUACAACACCUACUGAAAAGCCAGAGCAGUGCUCUCUCCAUUGUAAAAGAAUGAAUAGUGUUGUUACUCAAUAAAUGUGUAAAUCCCCGGUGAUUUACAGGCACUUUAAGCCAUGUAUCAAUCUCAUAUUCACUCUGAAUUGCAGACUUUUUGAAAUCAGACAUUCUCAUUAAAUGUUACCACCUAUUUGGGUCACCCUGGUUUAUAGAACAAUAUACCCAGCAAAUUAAACUUUAUUUCAGAAGUUCAUUAGUCUGAAAGAAAAUGAAAUGUGGGCUCAGUCACCUUUGUACAGAUGAGUCUAGCAUGUGAGUACUUUAAUUCAUAAUUUCCCUAGCCAAUAGAUCCACCUCAGAGGGUUUUUUGGUAAGCUGAUGUGUUUAUACUUCCAACUCAGAUAGCUGGUCUAUGUAUUUCCAUAGGUUAGUAGACUUUGAAGGCACUGCCAGACAGCUACUAUGCAAAGCUGCAGGAAGAGAGACCUGCAGGGGACAGCAGGCUCAGGUGACAACAGCCCUUAUCUGUUCUUGCCCUCUGUGUCCUGCCUGCACAUUGCUCUCACAGUGCCCUAAUGGCAACGCUCCCAGCAUACAUCAGGUUUUGGUAUGAGCAGGAGCUGAUGCAGUCACACCCCUUGCAAUAGGGGUGUGCAAUAGGGGACCAAACAUCCAGCAAACUUCUGCCUCAGCCAGUGGACAUACUGGUGCUCCCCAUGCCCAGCUGAGAGCAUGGGAAAGAUCUGUGCUCUCACACAAGCCUAGCUUGACAGUCUGCUAUAAAGUAACAGUUGGUGAUAUAUGCUUUCAGCACAGUGAGAUAAGUGAUAAACAUGGAUAUAAAAGCACAUUAACAACAAAACUAAUAAAAUACAACACAACAGCACAAUGGUCAUAGGACGUAACACAAGACACAAUAUGCCAUUUGCAGAUGGUGCAUGUACCAUAAAAACGUCAUUGCAGUGAUGUCCAGCAGAUCGUUCUAUUUCUGUUGCAAUUCUGAAUAUCCAGCCCACAUCAUGUUGGAUAGCAAUGCCCACCUGUUUUUGGCAAAUAAUAGCCUUUUCAUAUUUAGUGAUUGAUGUUUCCAGGCCUUCAUUUUGAAAAUACACUGUGUUACAUAUUAUGCCUAAGAAUAAGGUCCAAGUUGGAAUCCUACAGAAGUACUUUAGGGUCUCCAGAAUGAGUUACAACACUGCUCUAGAACGUAAUUGCUUAACAGAGAAAUCUAGAUUCAAAUCUACCCUAAGGCUGUAGAUUACAUUUCGUUCUCCUUUUUUCUUAGGCCUUCAUGAGUCU